CAUGCCAGUGAUGAACGUACUACAAGAAAAUAAUAUCAUCAUUAGUAAUCAGUCACAGAGGUUUACUCUUUAUUUUGAGAUGUUUCUUUCCUUCUCCCUGUCGUUUUGUUAUGUGACUUGUUUUCUUUCCUACUCUGCAAAACCUCAGUAAAAUACUUUAAAGGCAAAGCUAUAUUACUAAUGAUGCAUUGGCAGUAUUAUCCUUCAUACUUUCAAAUUUUCUUCUCAUUGGAAAUUGGGUCUAAGUGGGCUUGGUUAUUUUCUGACUGUGGCAAGCUCAGGUCUUUGUUGGCUUUGUGAGACUUCCCUGUGUGUGCGUGCUGGUGCAUUUGUGCAGAGUGAGAAGGCAAAGAAGGAGGGAAAGACGAAAGCUGAAGAUCGAAAGGGAUGAGAGGACGUGAUAAAUAUGGUGCGGAAAGCCAGCAUAUAGGUGAAUAUAUUAGUGAGUGUAACUGCAUUCUUAAUGUAGGUAUGCUUAUCUUGGGACUCGCAGAAUAUUACUGAUCUCUUAUAGUGGAGGGAACAGCAGGAGGAAUGAUUGCUGCCAGCACUGUGCGUGGUUCUGGCUGCAGCCAAGGACAGAUCCUGGCUCUGGGGUGGGCUCCCUCCCUAAGGGACCUCCUGGUUUGCUGCUCCUGGUGUGGCUCGCCCGAGAGAGAGGAUUGCGGAUGAGUGGUGCUCUUGCUGUACACAUGUCCUUUUAACACAGGAAAGGACAUAAUGUGUUUUCUCCUUAGUUUUUCAGAAGAUGUGUUUUCAAGUAGACAUUUUCUGCCUGCACCGACCUUGGCACCGUGACUGUUGUCUGCGUCCUGUCAGGCUGCAUGCCUCCAUGCAUGCUUGUAGACAGUGAGACCUUUUUAAUUACAGAAAGUGUUUUAACCUUGAAGGUUGCUUUUUAGUGCGUUUCUUUGAUAAGCUCUGAAAGGCCAGGAUGCUGGCUAUAGUAACUAGAGCUUCAAGAUGCAUCUUAAAGCACCUUUUAACAGAUUCUUCAGCUCACGCUUGUAAUAAACCCCUUUGCUGGGGAGGUGGAGGAGCUGGCCUGGUUAGGGCGACCUGUGCUGUUCACAAAGUUUAUAGUUUGAUGACAAUGCAGAUAGUCAUCUUUCUGCCUGCUUCUGGGCAGGCGGCGUGCUCUGAGCUGCUUCGCAAGCCUGGUGUUUUUGUUCAGCUCUUUCUUUAAGGGCAGUGUCUCCUGUUGGGAUGCAAGAGAUGAGCCUGCUGAGCGCCCACGGCCGUGCUGCAGCACCCGGCUGCCCACACCCCUCGGCAUCAGCAUGAAGCGCUACGUGGGUACCAUUUGCAUUGCCAGGGAUCGAGAUGCUUCUUUUAUUUGCAAUAAAAAAACCCCAAAACUCUUCCAGAACUUCUUUACUGUGCCACCUCAAUGUUAGUUCUCUCUGACCGACCUUGGCAUGGGUGCUGCUGCGUGCCUGGCCCUGGGGCUGGUGCAGUUCGCUUACCUGCUUGAUCAGGGCAAACGGCUGCACCGUGCUCCCAGGUACCCCCUUAAAUUUGGUCCCGAUUAAACCAGCAAAGAGGUAUCUGGAGUCCAAGUUACAUUUCUCACAAAAUUUUAAGCCUGACUGUUCCCCUACAAUAUACUUGCCCUGUAAUUUCAGUUGACUUGUGAUACGCGGACUGCAAACUGUGUGUUUCUGUAAUUUUUGUUGUUUGCUAUUUUCUUCUCUGAAAUAAAAAAUAUAUGGACAAAAAGUA